GCGAGCCUCCUGCGGAGGCGUGGGAACGCUGCCGCGCACCUAGGGUCCCGGAGCUGCGCGCAGGCGGGAGAGGCAGCGGCGAGCGUGAGCGCGAGGUCGAUAGCUCCAGCUAGGGCAGCACGCGGACGUGGGCGCGGGCGCGGCGGGGGAGGACCGUAGAGGGGCGGGCUCCAGACCUCGGGUUUCGGCCCUCCCUCGCACCCCUCCCCACAGUCUGGCGGUGAAGUUUCUGUCUUGUGUUUAAAGAAUAACCCCAAGCGCGUGGCUGAGUGUGAGCGAGCGUGUAGUGACGUUGGGAGGCGCCGUGGCUUAACCGAACCGCCCCACUCGGCUGUCCCUUGUCUGGACCAAAACUGCUGACUGGCUGACCCUGAGGGUCACAUUUGCCCUCUGGGGUUUUUGAAAACCUUAAAUCAAAGUUGCUUUUCUCCCUGGCAACUCCCAAGGCUGCUUUCGCGGCCUCUGGGCUGUGGACAGAUAAGGACGUGAGUUUCCCCGACCAGGUACUUAACCGCUGGCUGUCUGAGGGUCUGAGCCCGGCUACCAUGUGACGUUCGAUUUGCUCUAAAUCAGUUAUUUCCAUCUGGCCACGGGGGCUGUGGAUAGUAGACUGCGCUGAGUAGACCGUGAGCCGGAGUUAUGUCCGCUCUGGCGGCAGGAAAGACGAGACCAAUGACGCAGUUGUAGGAUUAAGAGAAAAAGUGGCAUUUGAGCAGAGCCUUGAAAGGUGUCUGGAAUAGCUACAAUCCUAAACACACUUUCUUGGAGAAGGAUCAGCAUAAUCCUAAACACACUUUCUUGGAGAAGGAUCAGCAUUUGCCAAGAUACACAGAGGCUGAAGAUGCAGGCCAUUCUUAGGGAAAGAAGUGAUCCUUAGCUAGAGUGAAGGAUCUGGAGGAAAGAGGUAUGGACAAGCUCCUAGAAGAAAGAAACUGUGGUUGACCCUUGAACAACAUGGGUUUCAACAGUGCAGAUCCACUUAUGUGUGGAUUAUUUUUUAUGACUAUGGUACAGUACUCUCCUACCUUUGUGAGAUGACAUGCAUGUGUAUGGACACACCAGCUUUAUACCCAAGCUCUGUGCAUUCUUUCUCCCACUUCAAUAGCAGCUUCUCCUUGGCCCUUGGAGUGAGCAUCCCAGAGAGAAAUUUUCAAACUCAAAGAGGUCGCCUUGACUAUGUUUGGAAAAUUGGAUGAUGAAACCUCAUGAACACUAUUGACGUUUGUGUAAAAGAGCAACAGACUCUUGGCCAUGAAACUCUAGCCUGUAUGCAGAUCUAGGUUCUGCCUCACACUUGAGGAGCCAUCUGCCCGAAGCUUAGAACUCUGGAGUGACUCUGUGGCCCUUUGGUAUCCUGGUCCAAGCCCAGCUGCAGGCUAAGAGAUGACUCCACGAAAUAGAUCUCAGUUAACUGAAAAAUACCUCUCUGGACAGGUAGCUCCAGAAAUCUCUGAGCAGAGCCUGCUAAUCCAUCUGCUGUGCACUUUGAUGAUCUUGCCCACCUAGCUUCUGGCCAUCUGGCCUCUGUUAUUCUGAAAUCCUAUCAUCCCCAUUGUUAUCAGAGAGCACCGUUCGAUAGCAGAAUCUCCUAUCGUUAAUCCUGAUCUACAUGGGACAGCCGCUACUGAACUUCUAAACAAUGCUGGUGCCCCCCGCACCUAGGAGAGGAAGUUGCAAUAUUCUCCAUGGAAGAAGGCAGCUGUGAGCCUCCAGCAGCCAAAACUCACAGCAGCUGUAAGUUGGAUACAACAGGUUGAAGAAGGGAAUCUGGACAGGGCAGCAAUGGCAUCCACUGCAGGGUCUUUCCUUUCUGCCCCAGGUCCCUACUACAUGGCUUUGUCUCAGUCCUCGCAAGUAAUGAUGUUAUCUGUUCACAUGACUGUCCCUCACCAUAAAGGCUUUCCUUAUGGUGUAACUUAAUUUAAUCUCAAUACUGAGGUGUUUUCCCAAUGAAGUUUAUGUGCUCUUUCUGAGCCCUGCAUGAAAAAUGACUUUGACCAACUUAGCUUUGUUUUCCCUGCUAUAAAAAUUUUGCAAAGAUCAUCUUUCAAUCCAUAUAACUCAUGCCAAAUUACUACUGAUUUUCUUUCUGAUUAAAAAGCAUCCAUAAUUCUUGUAGUAAAUUUGAAAAGAAAAACAUAAAGGGAAAAAUAAUCUAAUCUUGCUAUCUGAAUACAACCACUGUUAACAAUUGCAUUUACUCCCAAAUAUUCCUCUCUGUGUAUGCAUAUAUAUCCUAUUUUUAACUUAACAUGACUUUAUGUGAAUUUUC